AUGGGGAGCUGUAGAGACUUGAAUUACUUCAACCACUUUGUAAAGAAUCAAGAGGCAAUAAUGCUAGUGGAGUAGUACUAGUGGAAUAGUCUUAUCUCUCCCAAAUGAACCAGGAGACAACCAAGCUGAGAAAAGCCAUAACUACACUCUUCCUUCAAAACAACACCAGCAAGGACAAAGAUAAAACCUGCUACCAAGAGAGAAUUCAGCUAGAGAGGACUAGAAGGUCUAAAAGGCAGGGAGUGGAAAAAGGUGUUUAGAGUCCAUCAGCAAGAUCUCCAAAUCGGAAAACCAUUCCUUGAAGCUGCUGCUUGAGCAUCAUCAACAAGGGCCCUCCGAAGCUCCUGAGGGGGCAUAAACAGCCAGUUCCAGCUCAGUAAACUUUGCAUGCAAGCCUUUGCUACUAGCCCAGGUUAUACGCCAAGUUCAGACCUUCCCUGAUGGCACAAGCCUCAACAGUGAGGGGGGAGGAGCAGUAGAUCUUAGCAUGGGUACCUGAGAGAAGAGUAGAGUACUUGUCCCGGAUCAGCACUCCCAGAGCAGCUUGGGGUCCAUGGUAGACAAGAGUCUAGUUGCUUGUUGGAUGGUAAACUCAGGGUCUGGACAAAUUGCUUUGAAGACUGAGUUAUUUCUGCCUCUCCAGAUGGACCAGAGAAGACUGGCUAGCAAGGAGAAUUCUCUAUCAAAGUCCUGAGAAAGCCUUUUCAAGAUGGUGAUCCUCUGCAAUAGCCAGGAAUCAAAAGGGCCCAUUCCUUCCAAGGUGACAAUCCAUUGCAAGGAGGAGCCGAACCACACCGCUCGGGUCCAGGGGCAGACCAGGAAGAGGUGUUCCACAGUUUCAAGACUAUCACAACAAACAGGGCAUUGGCCAGAAGGUGAAAUUCUUUUCCUCCAUAAGUUAUAUUUAACUGCUAAGGAAUUAUGACUGGCUUUCCAGAGGAAGACUUUUACCUUUUGGGGGACAUGAGAACUCCAGAUCGUAUUCCAAAGAUCUUCUGAGAUAACAUGAGAACUUGAGCUAUGGGUUUGGGUGAUAAUUGUAUUAUUUCUUGCUACUCUGAAACCUGAAUUGACAGUAUAAUCCCCUCUAGGCGUAUGAGGCCAGAAAAUAACAUCUGCUUGAUUGAACUUA